rnacentral:rRNA from 1 species
UACGUAGGGGGCAAGCGUUAUCCGGAUUUACUGGGUGUAAAGGGGGCGCAGACGGCGAUGCAAGCCAGGAGUGAAAGCCCGGGGCCCAACCCCGGGACUGCUCUUGGAACUGCGUGGCUGGAGUGCAGGAGGGGCAGGCGGAAUUCCUGGUGUAGCGGUGAAAUGCGUAGAUAUCAGGAGGAACUCCGAUUGCGAAGGCAGCAUACCGGCGCCCUACUGACGCUGAGGCACGAAAGCGUGGGUAUCGAACAGG